rnacentral:rRNA from 1 species
CGGAUUGCAGGCUGCAACUCGCCUGCAUGAAGCUGGAAUUGCUAGUAAUCGCGGAUCAGCAAGCCGCGGUGAAUACGUUCCCGGGCCUUGUACACACCGCCCGUCACACCAUGAGAGUCGGGAACACCCGAAGUCCGUAGUCUAACCGCAAGGGGGGCGCGGCCGAAGGUGGGUCCGGUAAUUGGGGUGAAGUCGUAACAAGGUAAC